rnacentral:piRNA from 1 species
AGCUGGGCAGUAGUCCUCUGACAAUGGGA